rnacentral:rRNA from 1 species
GAUGAACGCUGGCGGCGUGCCUAAUACAUGCAAGUCGAGCGAACAGAUAAGGAGCUUGCUCCUUUGACGUUAGCGGCGGACGGGUGAGUAACACGUGGGUAACCUACCUAUAAGACUGGAAUAACUCCGGGAAACCGGGGCUAAUGCCGGAUAACAUUUAGAACCGCAUGGUUCUAAAGUGAAAGAUGGUUUUGCUAUCACUUAUAGAUGGACCCGCGCCGUAUUAGCUAGUUGGUAAGGUAACGGCUUACCAAGGCAACGAUACGUAGCCGACCUGAGAGGGUGAUCGGCCACACUGGAACUGAGACACGAUCCAGACUCCUACGGGAGGCAGCAGUAGGGAAUCUUCCGCAAUGGGCGAAAGCCUGACGGAGCAACGCCGCGUGAGUGAUGAAGGUCUUCGGAUCGUAAAACUCUGUUAUUAGGGAAGAACAAAUGCGUAAGUAACUGUGCACGUCUUGACGGUACCUAAUCAGAAAGCCACGGCUAACUACGUG